GUCAAUACUUUUGAGCUUAGCAUAAUAAUUCCUAGCAAGUCUAAAUAUAAAAUUAUCGAUUCUAGGUAUCAAGGCCUGAUUAUAUAAAAAAUCAUUCUUGACGCGAUACUGAAAAUUGCUAUGAGGGGAUCGAUGUAAGAGCAACCAGGUGCGGAGACAAUUUCUCUCAAAUAAUCUGAGUGUCUCGAUCUGAUGGGCCCCCAUAUUCCAAAGGACUUCGCAGGCGUACGUCAAUAGAGGUCUAAUUAGGAGCAGGUUGAUCUCCAGCUACGUAGAGGACUCGGUCAUCCGCAUACGAAAUGGAGAAUGUAUCAUUGUUGGAGUUGAAGUCAAAGGCAUUAAUCAUGUUUGAUGUAAAUAAUGAAACUAACAAGGAUCCAGGAGAACAGCCCCAACAAGGUUAUGUUGAAACAGGUUUUCAUUAAUAUCAGAAAUGAGCUCAUUGACGGCAUGUAGAGUGGAGUGUUUAUUGCGGAAACCAUAGUGGUUAUCAGGAGUGAGGCUAAUAGGUCUGUAACUGACCGGAUGAGUGAUAUCCUUCCCUUUUUUGAUGCGUUGUUAAAAAUAACUGAGAGAUUGAAGACCAUUUUUUUUGGUUCUCUUUUGGGUUCUGUGGAUACUUCGAGAGUCGCAGAUUGGUGUUUUCCGACGUUUGAGCGUUUCCAGAAGGAAUUCAUUGUCGAUAUUCGAAUUGUUAGUGGAUUUUUUUGUUGUUGAUUAUAAAUUGUUAUUGGAUCUCCGUUAAUAGAUGCAUUGGAAUUCUUCGUGAAAACGUCACCAAUUGUAUUUUCUGAGUUUAGGGUAA